rnacentral:rRNA from 1 species
UACGUAGGGUGCGAGCGUUGUCCGGAAUUAUUGGGCGUAAAGGGGCUCGUAGGCGGUUUGUCGCGUCGGGAGUGAAAUCCAUUGGCUUAACUGGUGGCUUGCUUUCGAUACGGGCAGACUGGAGGUAUGCAGGGGAGAACGGAAUUCCUGGUGUAGCGGUGAAAUGCGCAGAUAUCAGGAGGAACACCGGUGGCGAAGGC